GGAGGACCGCCUCUUCACAUGCCACGAAGAUUGCCAAACCAGCUUCUUCCGCUCCCUGGGCACAGCCAGACUGGCGGACAUCACUGCUAUCUCCACUGAGUUAGGCAAGGAGUACUGUGUCCUGGAGUUCUCCCAGGAUAGCCCCCAGCUGCCGAAGCCCUGGGUCAUCUACAUGAGCUGCACUUCCGAGUUGGACCGGUUCCUGACCGCCCUGAGCUCUGGGUGGAAAGCCAUCUACCAGGUACCAAGGGUUCUGAGGACAGCAAUUUGUCACCAACUCUAGACAGACAGAAACUUAGAGCUAAAAAAAAAAAAGCAAGCUCCACUGUCAACAGGUCUGUCAAAACUAAAAAUACCACCAGGAGCUGCCAUUCCUGAGCUGAGUCCCAGUCACUGUGGGACUCUUGGCGGACCUGGUGAGAUGUAAGACAGGCCCUUCCCCCUCCCAGAGCUGCAGGAGCAGCCCUGGAGAAGUAGCGACUUCUGUUUGGUUUGGUUUUAAAACAAGGUCUUACUAUGCAGCUCUGGCUAGUCUUGAACUCACAGGGAAAAAUCUAUGUCUGGCUCCUGGGAUCAAAGGCAUGAGCCACCACACCCAGGGAGAGGUACUGCUUUAUGCACGGUGCUCCCUGCACCCUGUCAUUCUGGGGCAGCUUGAAACUGAGCUAGAAACUGAAAACAGUCAUGGACAGAUCCCCUCACCCAGUGAAUCCCAAGUAGACCUGAGAGCUGGGCCUUGAGGUCUGUGUGCCGAGCAGAGGGGAAACUCACA
rnacentral:lncRNA from 1 species